rnacentral:rRNA from 1 species
GAUGAACGCUGGCGGCGUGCCUAAUACAUGCAAGUCGAGCGAACGGACGAGAAGCUUGCUUCUCUGAUGUUAGCGGCGGACGGGUGAGUAACACGUGGAUAACCUACCUAUAAGACUGGGAUAACUUCGGGAAACCGGAGCUAAUACCGGAUAAUAUUUUGAACCGCAUGGUUCAAAAGUGAAAGACGGUCUUGCUGUCACUUAUAGAUGGAUCCGCGCUGCAUUAGCUAGUUGGUAAGGUAACGGCUUACCAAGGCAACGAUGCAUAGCCAACCUGAGAGGGUGAUCGGCCACACUGGAACUGAGACACGGUCCAGACUCCUACGGGAGGCAGCAGUAGGGAAUCUUCCGCAAUGGGCGAAAGCCUGACGGAGCAACGCCGAGUGAGUGAUGAAGGUCUUCGGAUCGUAAAACUCUGUUAUUAGGGAAGAACAUAUGUGUAAGUAACUGUGCACAUCUUGACGGUACCUAAUCAGAAAGCCACGGCUAACUACGUG